rnacentral:rRNA from 1 species
GACGAACGCUGGCGGCGUGCUUAACACAUGCAAGUCGAACGGUGAAGCGAGUGCUUGCACUCGCGGAUCAGUGGCGAACGGGUGAGUAACACGUGAGUAACCUGCCCAUCACUCUGGGAUAAGCACUGGAAACGGUGUCUAAUACUGGAUACGAUCAACUCUUGCAUGGGGUGUUGGUGGAAAGAUUUAUCGGUGAUGGAUGGACUCGCGGCUUAUCAGCUUGUUGGCGGGGUAAUGGCCUACCAAGGUGACGACGGGUAGCCGGCCUGAGAGGGUGACCGGCCACACUGGGACUGAGACACGGCCCAGACUCCUACGGGAGGCAGCAGUGGGGAAUAUUGCACAAUGGGCGAAAGCCUGAUGCAGCGACGCCGCGUGAGGGAUGACGGCCUUCGGGUUGUAAACCUCUUUCAGCAGGGAAGAAGCGAAAGUGACGGUACCUGCAGAAGAAGCACCGGCUAACUACGUG